CUAUUUGUAAGUCAAGCAUGCAGUUGUCUGAAUUCUUUGGCAGUGGGCAAACAGAAAUAAAUGAGAAUGGAAUUUCAUGCUGGGUUAAGAGCUGCCUUUUUGAUCAUAUAGACCUUUAUUAAGCUCCUUAGCAUUUCCAUCAUUGUCCUUCCCA